AUGCUGCAUGCGAGAUGCGGGAUGCUGGGCACUGGAGGCCCGGGACGCGGGUCCGAGAGCGCGGAAGGGGCGGGGCUGGGCAGCCUAAGAGGCCGCGGUCGCUCCGGACCGCCCUGCCCCAUGUUCCUCCCCGCGUCCCUCCGGCUCCUGGCGCUUCGUAGAGCCCAAAGGCUGAGAGGGGUUAGAGGCGCCGAUCACACCCUAGAAGUCGUUUAUGUCGAGCUGUGGAUGUUACAAGCGUUAUUUGGCCAGGACAGCGAGAUGCUGGCGGCCUUCUACGGGUGGUUCAGGGUCUCCCUCGUGGUCAGCGCAGUCCCAGGAUGCGGAGUCCUGGUCUUCAUCAUCGGAUCGCCCCUUUACCAGUAUGUGACCAAGUUCCUCAUCGUGGCAAUAUGUUUCCAGCUUCGGGUCCGCCGAAAUCGAGUGUUCUUUCCAGGUUAUGAUGGAGAAAAGAAAAUUUCUGGGAGUCCCCCCCCCCCCCCCUACAACUCCCACUCUGGAUGGAGCUCUCCUUUUCUGCCUGGGUCCCUACCAGGAAGAGUGGGGAACUCCAAGGAGGGAGGUGCCUGUUGUGGGGGUGCUGCUGAGCAACCCAGGCAGAAGUGCUCGGCAAUGGAUGAACUCUCCCUAAUCCAGUCCUCAUCGAAGCUGGAAUCAAGAUUGCUGGGAGAAAUAUCAAUAACCUCAGAUAUGCAGAUGACACCACCCUUAUGGCAGAAAGUGAAGAGGAACUAA
rnacentral:lncRNA from 1 species